rnacentral:lncRNA from 1 species
AACCCUGCCGAUCCAUUCCUCCAGGGGACCGCAGGCGCCGCCAUCCCCUGCGGCAACCGCCUACCCCUCCCCUACUACGCCGCCGGCCACCACCACUCUCCCUCGCCGCCAUACCGUGCGACAACACCCCAUCCCACACCUGUCGUCCGGCUCCGGCCACCAUCCCCUGCGACUAUCCCCUAACCCACACCUGCCGUCCGCCGCCAUCCCCUGAGACAACCCCCUACCCAACACCUGACGUCCGCCGCCGGAUACAACUACACUCCUCCGCCACUAUCCCCUGCGACAACCCCUACCCAACACCUGCCGUCCGCCACGGCCACCACGAUUCUCCUCCGCUGCCAUCCCCUGCCACAACCCCCUACCAAACACCUGCAGUCCGCGACCGGCUACCACGACUCUCAUCCGCCGACACCCCUGCGACAGCCCCACACCGCACCCCUGCCAUUCUCCGCCGGCCGGCACCGCUGUCCUUGGUUGGCACCACCUCAUUGCUUGAGCUAUUAUGCUUGGCUGCGUUUUGAGUGAAAUAAUCUCGCAGGAGCCGUAGCGCCGGCGAACAGUCCUUUUCCUUGUUCAAUUUGAAGAUAUCGAUUUUGGUUUGUGCAGCAAUCGUAGUCCAAAAGGAGUCAUUUUUAUUCGGAGUCUGUCUGUUGAGAAGUUGUAAUCCGGAUCCUCCUCCCUUUUCCUCUGACUAGUAAACGUGCAACGCACGUCUCAAUCGACAUCAAAUAAUUGUUAAUAAAUAGUUGUCUAAUAUUUACAUAGUUUUUCAUCCGUACAUAUCUUUAUUACUGAUUUAUAAUGUUUUUCGGAUGGAAGCAAAACUAAAUUACGGAUAAAUAAAGAAUGUGCAAAUUAGUUCAAGAUCAAUAAAUUUAUGUAACUUAUGUUGCUAGUACGGACACCCUAGUAGUCACUUAUUUGCUACUAUUUCUUAGCCAUAUCAUCCUGAUUCUACCCUUUGUCCCAUCAUAGAAAUUGACACAUCACACAUGGCUGCAACAGUCUCAACGUGAUGAAGAGCCAAAUCAGUUUCCUCCUCCGUCUUACACAUGACCUUGCUUCCUGUCAUGUCACAAAAGAAGAAAACAGUCCCUUUCUCUGUAAGAUUGAACAGAGUCAAGCCAUAAAAGAAAAUGGACAAGCUGAUUUUUUCAUCAUGAAAUUUUGUGUUUUGAAAUAGUUACUAAAUAUGUAAUGUUUAGUCCAGCAGCCAAAUGGUUAUACCCCAGAGUUGUUUACAUCAUUGCUUCACUCAUGGUUCAGUGCCAUGAUGGCAUAAAAGAUAUCUUAGAAAAAGCCGGAUACAUAGUAAUGCCUAAUUAACAGAUGGUCAAAGCAAUUAUCAAAAAACAUGAAGAGCAGGUUAACCAUUGUUACAUCCCAAAUCUAUGAGAACAUCUGUAAAUAAUUAUCUGUAAUGGGGUGUUUAGAGUACACCUGCUUUGGUUGUACUGGGGUGUGGUCGAGAGUGGAUGUUCGCAUCCAUUUCGAGGCUUCUUGUACAUUGUAUUUUCUCUCUUUUAUAAAAGUAUGCCUUUGGCGUACUCUCAAAAAAAAAGAAUAUCUGUAAAUUGUAGAAGAAAAUGGCGCAGUUAUGAAAAGAAAACAAAGCUUUAACCUUGGUGUAGUAAAAACUAAAAGGUAACUUAUCCCUACAGUCUAAUAACAGAACAACACAUGAGUAAACAACUUGCUGUUUUCUGUAAAGGGUGAAUUUCAUUGGCAGCAUGUCUGAACUAUCAUAAUAAAAUUAGUCAGGCCUCCUAAAUUUUGUUACUCAAGAAACUAUCUGCAGGUCCCUGAAAUUUUGCUAUGCAUUUUUGGAAGAGAAGAGCACCAUUUCAAAUUCACAAUACUGCGUGAUAGUUUGUUUCUCGAGCCUAAACAAAAGCAAAACUUCCUCUAGACACUUGCUUAAUGUAAGAGCGGAACAAACUUUCAUAAUUUCAAACUGAAGAUUUCAAAGUCAUACACAUGGCAGAUAAUUCAUACUUUAGGAGGAAAUUAGUUUGCCUCCAAAUCCAACAGCAAUCAACAAAAAUACACAUGGAAAAUGGCAUUUAAUAGUACACUGUAAACAGAACACUGAAUGGAUAAUGAUACUAAAAUGUGUUUACAAAGGUCAACAGAAUACAGAUCUUACCAACGAACAAAGAUGAAGUGAUGAACUGACCGGUUUCAGUGAAGUGGCUAAUGUCAUGACCUCGGUUUUCUGCUGAAGCAACUCAUUUUCUCUUUCAGAUAGCUGAACUGCUAAAAUACCCACCUAUGGAAAGUACCAAAAUAUUGAAGUGUUUACAAACAAAGAGAUCAUUUAGGCAUGUAUAUAUAUGUAGGUCGACUGGUGGAGACUUCUUUGAAUAAAAACUCACCUGCUACUAUUUUUUACACAAUGAAACUGUACGUGCUNN